AGUAAGGUCAGCUAAUUAAGCUCUUGGGCCCAUACCCCAAACAUGUUGGUUAAUUCCAACCUUUACUA
rnacentral:tRNA from 1 species